AUUUAUAUAGUAUAAAUAAAAUUACAAUUAAUUUCCAAUUAAAAAAUUUAAUAUUAAAUUAAUAUAAAUA
rnacentral:tRNA from 1 species